UGAUUGAUUAACAAUGCCUCCCCUGAAUAAGGAAGGGGUAAGCAGUAGCACCGUGGUUGAUUAGUAAUGUUUGCCUGAAUGCAGAAUGGCAAAGUGGCCAUGUGUGUCUUAUUUUCUAUACCUGCCCUGUAGUGUAUAGGAGAGCACUGAGGAAUCUCUGAGCCCUGGCUCUAGCCCCUGCAAAGUGUUAGAUAAAAGGGGAAAAUAGUCCAACCAGUGCCACAGGUGGACACCUAGAUGUUGCCAGGAAUAAGACUGACCCUGGGUGGGAAUUGCAGGCCUAUCAUCCUGGAUCCGGCUGACCCGACAGGCAACCUGGGCCACAAUGCCCGCUGGGACCUGCUGGCCAAGGAAGCUGCAGCCUGCACAUCUGCCCUGUGCUGCAUGGGACGGAAUGGCAUCCCCAUCCAGCCAUGGCCAGUGAAGGCUGCUGUGUGAAGUCGAGAAAAUCAGCGGUCCUACUGGAUGAAGAGAAGAUGGACACCAGCCCUCAGCAUGAGGAAAUUCAGGGUCCCCUACCAGAUGAGAGAGAUUGUGUGCGUGUGUGUGUGAGCACAUGUGUGCGUGUGUGUGCGCACGUGUGCAUGUGUGUGUUUUAGUGAAUCUGCUCUCCCAGCUCACACACUCCCCUGCCUCCCAUGGCUUACACACUAGGAUCCAGACUCCAUGGUUUGACACCAGCCUGCGUUUGCAGCUUCUCUGUCACUGCCAUGACUCUAUCCUCGUACCACCACUGCUGCUUCCCACCCAGCUGAGAAUGCCCCCUCCUCCCUGACUCCUCUCUGCCCAUGCAAAUUAGCUCACAUCCUUCCUCCUGCUGCAAUCCAUCCCUUCCUCCCAUUGGCCUCUCCUUGCCAAAUCUAAAUACUUUAUAUAGGGAUGGCAGAGAGUUCCCAUCUCAUCUGUCAGCCACAGUCAUUUGGUACUGGCUACCUGGAGCCUUAUCUUCUGAAGGGUUUUAAAGAAUGGCCAAUUAGCUGAGAAGAAUUAUCUAAUCAAUUAGUGAUGUCUGCCAUGGAUGCAGUAGAGGAAAGUGGUGGUACAAGUGCCAUGAUUGAUUAGCAAUGUCUGCACUGGAUGCAGAAAAAAGAAGGUGCUUGCAGGUUUACAGUGUAUAUGUGGGCUAUUGAAGAGCCCUCUGAGCUCAGUUGCUAGCAGGAGAGCAUGCCC
rnacentral:sRNA from 1 species